rnacentral:rRNA from 1 species
GACGAACGCUGGCGGCGUGCCUAAUACAUGCCAGUCGAGCGGACGAUUCGAAAGCUUGCUUUUGAAUCGUUAGCGGCGGACGGGUGAGUAACACGUGGGCAACCUGCCCUUUAGACGGGGAUAACACCGAGAAAUCGGUGCUAAUACCGGAUAACACGAAAUGUCGCAUGACGUUUCGGUGAAAGGCGGCGCAAGCUGCCGCUACAGGAUGGUCCCGCGGCGCAUUAGCUAGUUGGUGAGGUAACGGCUCACCAAGGCGACGAUGCGUAGCCGACCUGAGAGGGUGAUCGGCCACACUGGAACUGAGACACGGUCCAGACUCCUACGGGAGGCAGCAGUAGGGAAUCUUCCGCAAUGGACGAAAGUCUGACGGAGCAACGCCGCGUGAGCGAAGAAGGCCUUCGGGUCGUAAAGCUCUGUUGUUAGGGAAGAACAAGUAACGUAGUAACUGACGUUACUAUGACGGUACCUAACGAGAAAGCCACGGCUAACUACGUG